UACGUAGGGGGCAAGCGUUAUCCGGAUUUACUGGGUGUAAAGGGAGCGUAGACGGCAAGGCAAGUCUGAAGUGAAAGCCCGGUGCUUAACGCCGGGACUGCUUUGGAAACUGUUUGGCUGGAGUGCCGGAGAGGUAAGCGGAAUUCCUAGUGUAGCGGUGAAAUGCGUAGAUAUUAGGAAGAACACCAGUGGCGAAGGCGGCUUACUGGACGGUAACUGACGUUGAGGCUCGAAAGCGUGGGGAGCAAACAGG
rnacentral:rRNA from 4 species